rnacentral:rRNA from 1 species
AAAAUGACUCUCGGCAACGGAUAUCUCGGCUCUCGCAUCGAUGAAGAACGCAGCGAAAUGCGAUACUUGGUGUGAAUUGCAGAAUCCCGCGAACCAUCGAGUCUUUGAACGCAAGUUGCGCCCAAAGCCUUCCGGCCGAGGGCACGUCUGCCUGGGUGUCACGCAACAU